CUAAGUUUGAUGGCGACCGGCGCACGGGUGAGUAACACGUAUCCAACCUGCCGAUGACUCGGGGAUAGCCUUUCGAAAGAAAGAUUAAUACCCGAUGGCAUAGUUCUUCCGCAUGGUAGAACUAUUAAAGAAUUUCGGUCAUCGAUGGGGAUGCGUUCCAUUAGGUUGUUGGCGGGGUAACGGCCCACCAAGCCUUCGACGGAUAGGGGUUCUGAGAGGAAGGUCCCCCACAUUGGAACUGAGACACGGUCCAA
rnacentral:rRNA from 1 species